rnacentral:rRNA from 1 species
CGCGUAGGCGGCCAACUAAGUCGGACGUGAAAUCCCCUGGCUCAACCAGGGAACUGCGUCCGAUACUGAUUGGCUUGAAUCCGGGAGAGGGAUGUGGAAUUCCAGGUGUAGCGGUGAAAUGCGUAGAUAUCUGGAGGAACACCGGUGGCGAAGGCGGCAUCCUGGACCGACACUGACGCUGAGGCGCGAAAGCUAGGGAGCAAACG